AGACCGAACUCGGCCAUGGCACUUAUAUCAAAGGUUUAGAGACUACGUGCACAUAUGAUUCAUCAACAGAAGAGUUUAUUUUAAACAGUCCGACGUUAACUUCGUACAAAUGGUGGCCCGGCGGAUGUAUGUUUUAUAUAUAACGAAUGUCAAAACAAUUUAUCAACAUUCAACGCUGGAUAAAAUUAUAAUUUCAGUGGGCCAUAGUUGUAAUUACGCUAUUGUUGUCGCUCAACUCUACACACAAGGGAUACAUCGCGGAUUGCAUCUGUUCAUUGUGCAGAUAAGAGAUUCGGAAACGUGGAUGCCUAUGCCAGGUGCAUGUUAUUUUUUGAUUAAUUUUAAUAACAAGAAUCACGUUAUUAUUGAAAAACAAUUAUAUUUAUCUGCCAGGAUAAAAAAAUAACUAAAACAUUGAUAUAGGAAUCACGGUCGGUGAAAUCGGCAGUAAAUUCAGUUUGAACUCUACCAACAAUGGGUACGUGGCAUUUGAUAAUGUCCGAAUACCUCGAAUGCAAAUGUUAAUGAAAAAUUCGAUAGUUCAUAAGGUAAUGAGUUAAUGGUGUCGUGAUGAACGAUGUUUUUUUAAUGCGAUUGCAUGGAUCUAGAAAUAUGUUAAACUAUGAAAGGAGGGGAGAGAGUCGGGGUGAUCAUUUUUUAAUACUUCACUUAAGAUUUCUUAUGACGCCAUUACGUGAUGAUGUUAACUGGUUAAAUUAAUUAAGUAUAUAAAUCACAAUGCGUAAUUAAAAAUUGAAAUUUUGAGUAUAGGAUGGAACUCACGAAGUUGUAACUCGGGAUAUAUUGACAUACAGUACGAUGGUAUUCGUACGGGUAGCAAUUGUCAAAACCGUGAUUAACAACUACUUAAUGCGGUCAGCUGUAAUCGCAAUCAGGUACAGUGCGAUUCGGCGGCAAUCGAAAUUAAAACCUGGGUAAUAUAUUAUAUUUCACAAUAUAUACGGUAUAUUAUGUUACGUUGGUUUAUACUUACUUGCGGUACAGGGAACGCGAGCCACAAAUAUUGGACUACCAAACGCAACAGUACAAACUGUUUCCGACCAUUGCUACGUGUUUAGUGUAUAAAUUUGCUGCAAAAUGGCUAUGCGAUAAAUACUCUACUGUAAAUUCAGACAUAGAACGAGGAGAUUUAAAACAAUUACCAGAGGUUGGUACACUCAAUAAAUUGAGUUUCUUAAUUAUUAAUAUUAUCUGUUAUAAAGUAUAUUGCAGUUAAUGAUUUAAAAACCAUAGUGAAUGCAUACGAAUUUUGACUACGCAUUAUUUAAUACGUUAUACCUUCUUCUACAUUAAUAAUAGGAAGUGUCUGUCUAUCUGGGCACGGCGAACAGCCAAAUAUAUCGCUUAUAAGAAUGCAAUCUUUUUUUUUUUUAAAUAUAUUGGUUACCAAAAUGUUAUUAAUUAUUUAUUAGUGUUAGUAUGAACUAUGAAGAUGGUGGUUUUCUAUCACAUAAUAACAAUUCUUUUUUGUAAUUGGUUAGUAUCUAUGGUAAGCUUUUGGUUUACCAGAGUGUUUAUACGUUUUUACUUCAUGACUAAAUACGUUAAUUGCCUACUUAACGUGUUGUUGAAUCUAGUAAAACAAUUUCAUGUACAUUGUACACGCUCAUAAAUAUUAAUUACAAAAAAUGACUGUUAUUGUUUACUGUAUUAUUAAUAAUGCUAAGAUGAUUUUAUCGUAUUAUUAUAUUUAUACAUAGCAAUUGGUUUAGGAGUUUAUACUGCAUUUGAAAUCAGUAAAUAUACGAGUCGUUGGAAUUGUCUCUUUAGCAAGUAUAAUAAGUGGUGAAAAUUUGGCGAUGCACAAGUCCUUUAAGAAACUCUUGUUAAAUUAUAUUAUUUUACGGUUUUGAUAGUCAAUAGAAUGGGGAAAUCAAAAAAAUAAUUAUAAAAUCAAUCUCUGUAAAAACUAAACAAGAAAAUGGAUAAAAAUUAAUAAUCGCACGGGUUAUUUCGAUUUCUCGGUUUUUUAAGGUACAAUAUUUUAGUCAUAACCCUACCAUACCUAUGUGUCAAUAAAAAUUGACCACCUCUUAAUGAAGUAAACUGAUUUUCCCUCCAGUAACUCGUGUCUCCCUAAAAUACGGGCCUGCUAAUGAGCCACAAAAUAUUAUAAAUUUUCCCUGAUCUAUCUAAAGCCCCAUUCCGCACCUGGUGGUCAAUGUAUAUUGACGUGUAUAUUCACGCAUAAAUCGGUACAAAUGUUUAUAAUCCAAAAUUGAAUUUCGAAUAAAAAUGUUCUUAAAAUAUAAUUUAUAGCUACACGCUAUGGCGUGUUGUUUAAAAGCUGUCUGUACGGCAGAUGCGGCUAUGGGCGUCACGAAUUGUCGUUUAGCAUGCGGCGGUCAUGGUUAUAUGACCAGUAGUAAUCUACCUAACAUUUAUGCGCAAACCACCGCAGCAGAAACUUAUGAAGGAGAAAACACAGUAUUACUUUUGCAGACAGCUAGGUACUUACUACUAGUAGCAUUAAGUUAUUGUAACGAUUUUAACAAAAACAUAAUACUUAUUACCGAUUGUUUAUUACCUAAUUCAAAUUAUUUUUAAACUUUAUAGAUUUUUGAUGAAAUCGUAUCACGAUGUGAAAAUGGAAAAUAUGCCGUUGUCGAACACUAUAUCUUAUCUGAGAGAUUAUACAGAUUUGAACAAAUUCCGAUGGACUACAACAUUAGAAUGUAUGGCAAAUGCAUUUUAUCAAGUCGCCGGAAGGUAUACGAGAUUUAUUUUACAACAAAAUGUUUAACUUGCUAACUUACUAUUAUAUUAAUUUUAAACAUAUUUUAGUAAGAUCGAAGACUGUUAUUCAACCAUAAAACGGAUGGUGAACUCUGGAGUUACUCAGGAGGACGCUUGGAAUCAAACGUCCAUCAAACUAACUCAAGCAUCUGAAGUACAUAAAUACCAUUUUAAUAAUUUAAAUAAGGAAAUUAAAAAACUUCAUCUAACACGGUUUAUACUUUUCGUGUUUUAUAAAGAAAAAUCACUCUCAACACGAAUAUAUUCUCUGUCUAUGGGCGUAAAAAUUAAUAUUUUAAAUCUCUCCUCUCGUUACACGUUACACAUGUCGAUGGUCGUAUCUUUAUUAUCCUUCUCUUAAACAGUAUUUCAGAAGCAUCAGAUUUUCUAUCGAAUAUCUCAUUUAGUGUUCCUAAUAAUCACACCAGACUACCACAGACUAUUCCCUACACUUACACAUUAUUUUCAAAUUUAUUAAGUUAGUAUAUAUGUAUAUAUUUUAUUAAUAUAAGUAAAAGUUAAAUUAUUGUAAUAUUUUACUUGAUUUUUAUAGGCACACUGCAGAGCAUUUGUUAUCAAUGUUUAUCUAAAAACUCUCCAGACGCUUACAUUUUCGACCGAGUUAAUGAAAGUACUCAUCGAUCUGGGUGAACUUAUUUGUGCAUAUUGGAUAAUAAAUCGACUUGGAGAUUUUCUUCAGGUAAAUUAUUUUCUUCAGCUGUUAUAAUAAUUUCAUGUUUUUAUAUGUACGCGAUUUUGUUCACAGUUCUCGAAUCUUAAAAUUAACGACGUGCCUUCGGUACAAUUGUUGUUUGAAGACUGCUUAAAACGUAUCAGACCAAAUGCAGUUGGUCUUGUCGAUAGUUUUGAUAUUCGCGAUGAAGUAUUAGACUCGUCGCUUGGCUGUUAUGACGGGAACGUCUACGAACGGAUUUUCGAAGAAGCUAAAAAAAGCCCUUUGAACAAAGAACCCGUGAAUCGUUCGUUUGAAUUGUACUUGAAACCAUUUAUAAAAUCUAAUAUUUAAAAUUUUGAAUUUAAAUUGAUCAAUGAAAAAUGUAAAUUUUUUGUUUUUCGUAUAAAUUUAAUAUAAAAAAAAAUAUACCUAUAAAUAGAAUAUUAUGUACGAGCAAUUUUAAAUAUUUUUGAACAAUAGAUUAAUUUGUUUUAACAGUUGCACUCAGAUAGAUCAUACCAAAAGUGGUUUAACUGCAUAUGAUAUCCAAGGUGUGGGUGGUUGGUAAUGUUGAUCUAAAUUGUCUUGGUCUUGAUCUUGCGGCAAGAUUAAGACUAAGGUGGCACUAGCACUAGCUAGACCAAAAUAAGUAUUUACAUAUUUAGACCAAGACCAAAACUGCAAGACUUGUAGUCUUGCACAUUUUCAAUUCGGAGCACAACAAGUGAUCUAUUAAUUAGUUUUACUAUGAUGUAUGUUUUUUUUUUGUGUGUCAUACGAGCAACUUUAAUACCAGAAAUCUUGCUCCGACGUAUCAAGUGUAGCGCAUUUUCUGAAAGGAAAUUUUAUUUAGUUGGCAGGUUAAGUAAUUUUUUGAUUUUCCAAGUAGUUUCCAUAAUAAUUGGAAAAACUGGAAAAAGAUGAAAAACGGAAACUGAUAUAGACUGUCUCGGUCUUAGUCUUGGUCUUGGUUUACUUAUGAUUAAUGACUGGUAUCUUGAGCCUGUUUAAAAAUUCUUAAAAAUAAAAUAAAAGUCGAUGGAGUCGAUACUUAUGUUAACUGCACGUAUUCUCUAAAUUUUUUUGUGCGCCACUAAUUCGUUAUAAUAUUUUGUACUUACGUAUUAUUAAUAUUAACUGGUUCAGGGCGAUAGUCGUUUGUACGAAAAUAAUAGUUAAUAAAAUUGUAACAAAAUAUUAUUAUAGUUCAUCUAUGUGUUAUAAAUACAAUCGCAUAUAUGUAGUUACAUCUGUGUACAGACUACGAAUAUGUAAACUCGGCUGU
rnacentral:lncRNA from 1 species